CGGCACGGGUGAGUAAUACAUCGGAACGUGUCUUCUAGUGGGGGAUAACUGCCCGAAAGGGCAGCUAAUACCGCAUGAGACCUGAGGGUGAAAGCGGGGGAUCGUAAGACCUCGCGCUGGAAGAGCGGCCGAUGUCCGAUUAGCUAGUUGGUGAGGUAAAGGCUCACCAAGGCGACGAUCGGUAACUGGUCUGAGAGGACGACCAGCCACACUGGGACUGAGACACGGCCCAG
rnacentral:rRNA from 1 species